rnacentral:rRNA from 1 species
GUAGGGAAUAUUGGGCAAUGGAUGCAAGUCUGACCCAGCCAUCCCGCGUGCCGGAAGAAGGCCCUCAGGGUUGUAAACGGCUUUUGACGGUGAAGAAUCGACAGGAUGCGUCCUGUUUUGACGGUAGCCGUUGAAUAAGCACCGGCUAACUCCGUGCCAGCAGCCGCGGUAAUACGGAGGGUGCGAGCGUUGUCCGGAGUUAUUGGGUUUAAAGGGUGCGUAGGCUAGAAGGUCAGUCAGCGGUGAAAAGCUGUCGCUUAACGAUAGUCUAGCCGCAGAUACUUCCUUUCUUGGAUGAGGAGGAGGCCACUGGAACGGAUGGUGUAGCGGGGAAAUGCAUAGAUAUCAUCCAGAACACCGAUUGCGAAGGCAGGUGGCUGUACCUUAAUCGACGCUGAUGCACGAAAGCAUGGGGAGCAAACAGGAUUAGAAACCCCUGUAGUCC